rnacentral:lncRNA from 1 species
CCAGGACAGGCUGGGCUCCCAAAAUCCUUCCUAAAAAGGAAUCAGGCUGUGGUGGCCCACACUAUUUUUAGAUAAUUGUGUUGAAAAAUCCCAAGGCACAUGUAGCAUCAUGCAUUUUUUUAUUCAGGAAGAAAAAAGAAAGGGACCUCCCCACUCUUCUCCCCACAGCCACCGCCUGCCCAAAACAGGUCAUGCCCCUGGAGUGGCCUCGCACCGUCCAUCCCCGGAGGGGCAGUAGCCUGGGCCCUGCAGCUGCCCAGCCCUGGGGGUUAGGGCCUUGGGGUUUCUGGCUAGAAACAGGGCUCACCUCGGUCUCCUCCUAAGCCUGGAGCUCUCAGGUGGUGCAAGGCACACGGGGAUCCCCCACAUUGCAGGUGGGGAGACUGAGGCCAGGCUGUACUCAUCUCCAUUACGAGGCCUUUUUUUUUAAAAAAAAAAAACAAACAAAAAAACAAAAAACAGCCUUAUGAAGAUGUGAUUGGCACGUAGUAAAGCGCAAGCAUUUAAAGUAUACAGUUCAAUAUGUCUUGACAUUUGUAUCUAUCCAUGAAGCCAUCGCCACUAUUAAGAGAGGGAUCAUAUCCAUCACCCUCAAAAUGUCUUUAUCAUCUUUGAAACCCCUCCCUCUGGCCCCCCCUCCACCCCCAAGUCUCCUUGCCCCAGGCGCAAUCACGGGUCUGCUUUCCCUCACUCUAGAUUAGUCCACAUUUUCUAGAGUUUUCUAUAAAUGGAAUCACACAGCACGUUCUUUUUUGACUGGCUCCUUCAACUCGUCACCACUACCUGGAGAUUCACCCAUGUUGCUGCAGGCACCAAGCCCCUCAUAUGGACAGAUCACAAUUCGCUUCUCCUUUGAUCUGUUGGUGGACAUUUGGAUUGUGAUCAGUUUUUGGCUAUUACAAAUAAAGCUGCUAUAAACAUUUGCGGAGAAGUCUUUGUAUUUGAGGGGACUGCAGGGAGGCCGGGCUGAGUCAGCGCCACUGCCGCUGCUGCGUGUCGCCACUAUUAAGAGAGGGAUCAUAUCCAUCACCCUCAAAAUGUCUUUAUCAUCUUUGAAACCCCUCCCUCUGGCCCCCCCUCCACCCCCAAGUCUCCUUGCCCCAGGCGC